rnacentral:rRNA from 1 species
AUUGAACGCUGGCGGCAGGCCUAACACAUGCAAGUCGGGCGGUAACAGGGAGAAGCUUGCUUCUCUGCUGACGAGCGGCGGACGGGUGAGUAAUGUAUGGGGAUCUGCCUGAUGGCGGGGGAUAACUACUGGAAACGGUAGCUAAUACCGCAUAAUGUCUGCGGACCAAAGCGGGGGACCUUCGGGCCUCGCGCCAUCAGAUGAACCCAUAUGGGAUUAGCUAGUAGGUAGGGUAACGGCUUACCUAGGCGACGAUCCCUAGCUGGUCUGAGAGGAUGAUCAGCCACACUGGGACUGAGACACGGCCCAGACUCCUACGGGAGGCAGCAGUGGGGAAUAUUGCACAAUGGGCGCAAGCCUGAUGCAGCCAUGCCGCGUGUAUGAAGAAGGCCUUCGGGUUGUAAAGUACUUUCAGUCGGGAGGAAGGUGGUAAGGUUAAUAACCUUAUCAAUUGACGUUACCGACAGAAGAAGCACCGGCUAACUCCGUGCCAGCAGCCGCGGUAAUACGGAGGGCGCAAGCGUUAAUCGGAAUUACUGGGCGUAAAGCGCACGCAGGCGGUUGAUUGAGUCAGAUGUGAAAUCCCCGGGCUUAACCCGGGAAUUGCAUCUGGUACUGGUCAGCUAGAG